ACUCAAAGGAAUAGACGGGGGCCUGCACAAGCGGUGGAGUAUGUGGCUUAAUUCGAUGCAACGCGAAGAACCUUACCUGGCCUUGACAUGCACGUGGUAGGACCAUGAAAGUGGGACGACCCCGCAAGGGGAGCGUGCACAGGUGCUGCAUGGCUGUCGUCAGCUCGUGUCGUGAGAUGUUGGGUUAAGUCCCGCAACGAGCGCAACCCUUGCGUCCUGUUGCCACCCUAUCGAGAGAUGGGAGCACUCUGGACGGACUGCCUCGCUUCAACGAGGAGGAAGGUGGGGAUGACGUCAAGUCAGGAUGGCCCUUACGGCCAGGGCUGCACACGUACUACAAUGCCCGGUACAAAGGGAAGCAAGACCGAGACAGAAGGUGGAGCAAAUCUCGAAAAAACCGGGCCCAGUUCAGAUUGAGGUCUGCAACUCGACCUCAUGAAGCCGGAAUCGCUAGUAAUGGCGCAUCAGCUACGGCGCCGUGAAUACGUUCCCAGGCCUUGUACACACCGCCCGU
rnacentral:rRNA from 1 species